rnacentral:rRNA from 1 species
GCAAGUUGAACGAACAUUACUGAAGCUUGCUUCAGUAAUGUGAGUGGCAAACGGGUGAGUAACACGUGGGAAUCUACCCAUCAGUACGGAAUAACAUUUGGAAACAGAUGCUAAUACCGUAUAUUCUCUAAGGAGAAAAGAUUUAUCGCUGAUUGAUGAGCCCGCGCAAGAUUAGGUAGUUGGUGGGGUAAUGGCCUACCAAGCUUACGAUCUUUAGCUGGUCUGAGAGGAUGAUC